AGGGGUAUAGCUCAGUGGUAGAAUGCAUGACACCCAUGCAGGAGGUCCUGGGUUCAAUCCCCAGUACUUCCA
rnacentral:tRNA from 1 species